CACGUAGGGUGCGAGCGUUGUCCGGAAUUAUUGGGCGUAAAGGGCGCGUAGGCGGCUCUGUAAGUCAGGCGUGAAAUUCCCGGGCUCAACCUGGGGACUGCGCUUGAGACUGUGGGGCUAGAGGAUGGAAGAGGGUCGUGGAAUUCCCAGUGUAGAGGUGAAAUUCGUAGAUAUUGGGAAGAACACCGGUGGCGAAGGCGGCGACCUGGUCCAUUACUGACGCUGAGGCGCGACAGCGUGGGGAGCAAACAGG
rnacentral:rRNA from 1 species